AAAACAAAUAUUUAAAAGAUAAACUGCUUGAUUCUAAACGUAUUACUUAUUACUAUUAAAAUUCCAUAACGUCGUAACAUAAAUAUUCAAUGUCUGGAUCUUGGCAAACGCAUUUUUAGUUAAACAAAACUUCAAACCUUCCCAAGGUUUAUCAAUAUACUGCCUAUUACGUUUACGACACACGGGUCGUGUACCUAUCGUGGAGUUUGUGGCUAGGCUGAGAAUUGUGACACGCUCUGGGUCGAUAAAUCCUGUAGACUGCGGCUCUCUAUCCCUCUUCCCUGCUCCAACAUAUCCAAAGGGCAUCGAGAUCUGUGGGUGGCAACUAGUGAGGUUCCCCUCCUUAGCUACAAUCAGCUCAACUAAAACCCCUUACCGUGCAACACAUCUAACACACUUUUAUUAGGAAAUAAACACCUCAAAUUUUUAAUUUUCGGCCUUGAUAUUUAUCAAA